GGCGAACGCUGGCGGCGUGCCUAAUACAUGCAAGUUGAGCGCUGAAGGUUGGUACUUGUACCAACUGGAUGAGCAGCGAACGGGUGAGUAACGCGUGGGGAAUCUGCCUUUGAGCGGGGGACAACAUUUGGAAACGAAUGCUAAUACCGCAUAAAAACUUUAAACACAAGUUUUAAGUUUGAAAGAUGCAAUUGCAUCACUCAAAGAUGAUCCCGCGUUGUAUUAGCUAGUUGGUGAGGUAAAGGCUCACCAAGGCGAUGAUACAUAGCCGACCUGAGAGGGUGAUCGGCCACAUUGGGACUGAGACACGGCCCAAACUCCUACGGGAGGCAGCAGUAGGGAAUCUUCGGCAAUAGACGAAAGUCUGACCGAGCAACGCCGCGUGAGUGAAGAAGGUUUUCGGAUCGUAAAACUCUGUUGGUAGAGAAGAACGUUGGUGAGAGUGGAAAGCUCAUCAAGUGACGGUAACUACCCAGAAAGGGACGGCUAACUACGUG
rnacentral:rRNA from 1 species